ensembl:lncRNA
CUCUGCCUGAGCAUCGCAGCACAGCGUUGGCUAACCAGGCUGCCAUGCUGUAUGUCUGUCUCUACUUCAUUCCCUCCAUACUUCAGACUCAACAGGCCAAGAUGAGGGAGAUAGUGGACAAGUACUUCCCUGAUAACUGGGUCAUCAGUGUCUACAUGGGAAUCACUGUGAAUCUGGUGGAGGCUUGGGAACCGUAUAAAGCUGCCAAGAUCGCCCUCAACUACACCCUGGACUCAGCCAAUAUCAGAGAGCAGGCCAGUCGUUAUUCAGUCAGCAUGGAGGGCUUGAGGCCACAGAUCCAGCAGCUGCUGAAGGAAGGGUUCCUGAGGGAGGAGAUCGUCCUGGAUAACGUCCCUAAGCUGCUCAACUGUCUCCGGGACUGUAACGUUUCCAUACGCUGGCUGAUGCUACACACUGCAGACUCCGGUAGGGCCUUUCUGUUGACGUCUAGGUCCAUGCAUCAAAUGGGCUUACAACUGAUUUAUGGAAGCAUCCAUAAAGGCCUUAUGAAGGGUUCAUGAAGCAUCCAUAAAGGGUUCAUGAAGCAUCCAUAAAGGGUUCAUGAAGCAUCCAUAAAGGGUUCAGGAAGCAUCCAUAAAGGGUUCAUGAAGCAUCCAUAAAGGGUUCAGGAAGCAUCCAUAAAGGGUUCAGGAAGUAUCCAUAAAGGCCUUAUGAAGGGUUCAGGAAGCAUCCAUAAAGGGUUCAGGAAGCAUCCAUAAAGGGUUCAGGAAGCAUCCAUAAAGGGUUCAGGAAGCAUCCAUAAAGGGUUCAGGAAGCAUCCAUAAAGGGUUCAUGAAGCAUCCAUAAAGGGUUCAGGAAGCAUCCAUAAAGGCCUUAUGAAGGGUUCAGGAAGCAUCCAUAAAGGGUUCAGGAAGCAUCCAUAAAGGCCUUAUAAAGGUGACGCUGUGUCACGCCAGGUGCUCCUAUAUCACGCCAGGCGGCGCUGUGUCACGCCAGGUGCUCCUAUAUCACGCCAGGCGAUACUAUAUCACUCCAGGUGCUCCUAUGUCACGCCAGGUGCUCCUAUAUCACGCCAGGCGGCGCUGUGUCACGCCAGGUGCUCCUAUAUCACGCCAGGCGAUACUAUAUCACGCCAGGUGCUCCUAUAUCACGCCAGGUGCUCCUAUGUCACUCCAGGUGCUCCUAUGUCACGCCAGGUGCUCCUAUAUCACGCCAGGCGGCGCUGUGUCACGCCAGGUGCUCCUAUAUCACGCCAGGCGCUCCUAUAUCACGCCAGGCGCUCCUAUAUCACGCCAGGCGCUCCUAUAUCACGCCAGGCGAUACUAUAUCACGCCAGGUGCUCCUAUAUCACGCCAGGCGAUACUAUAUCAUGCCAGGUGCUCCUAUAUCACGCCAGGCGCUCCUAUAUCACGCCAGGCGCUCCUAUGUCACGCCAGGCGGCGCUGUGUCACGUCAGGCGGCGCUGUGUCACGUCAGGCGGCGCUGUGUCACGCCAGGCUGCGCUGUGUCACGCCAGGUGCUCCUAUAUCAUGCCAGGCGAUACUAUAUCACGCCAGGUGCUCCUAUAUCAUGCCACAGGCGCUCCUAUAUCACGCUAGGCGCUCCUAUAUCACGCCAGGUGCUCCUAUAUCACGCCAGGCGCUCCUAUAUCACGCCAGGCGCUCCUAUAUCACGCCAGGCGCUCCUAUAUCACGCCAGGUGCUCCUAUAUUACGCCAGGAGAUCCUGUGUCACGCCAGGUGCUCCUAUAUCACGCCAGGUGAUGCUGUGUCACGCCAGGCGAUGCUGUGUCACGCCAGGCGAUACUAUAUCACGCCAGGCGAUACUAUAUCACGCCAG